rnacentral:lncRNA from 1 species
AUCUACUUGCAUGUUUUUGGAUAAACCCUAGUGAAUGAAUCUACUGUUCCAAAAAUUAGAGAUACAUUUUCACAUUUCGAAGUCAAUUUGCAAAAUCUUACUAAUAUUCUAAAUUUAUUAUGAUUUUGUUUCAGUUAUGGAAGUAAUAAGUACUAUAAUUAGUGGUAAGCUUUUGCUCAAAGGUACACACUACUUGUAUAAGAU